rnacentral:rRNA from 1 species
AGAGUUGAUCCUGGCUCAGGAUGAACGCUAGCGGCAGCUAACACAUGCAAGUCGAGGGGUAGAGUUAGCUUGCUAACUUGAGACCGGCGCACGGGUGCGUAACGCGUAUGCAAUCUACCUUGUACAGGGGGAUAGCCCAGAGAAAUUUGGAUUAAUACCCCAUAGUAUAUUUGAAUCGCAUGGUUUAAAUAUUAAAGUUCCAACGGUACAAGAUGAGCAUGCGUCCCAUUAGCUAGAUGGUAAGGUAACGGCUUACCAUGGCAAUGAUGGGUAGGGGUCCUGAGAGGGAGAUCCCCCACACUGGUACUGAGACACGGACCAGACUCCUACGGGAGGCAGCAGUGAGGAAUAUUGGUCAAUGGACGCAAGUCUGAACCAGCCAUGCCGCGUGCAGGAAGACGGUCCUAUGGAUUGUAAACUGCUUUUAUACAGGAAGAAACAACUCUACGUGUAGAGUCUUGACGGUACUGUAGGAAUAAGGAUCGGCUAACUCCGUGCCAGCAGCCGCGGUAAUACGGAGGAUCCAAGCGUUAUCCGGAAUCAUUGGGUUUAAAGGGUCCGUAGGCGGCCUUAUAAGUCAGUGGUGAAAUCUCCUAGCUCAACUAGGAAACUGCCAUUGAUACUGUAGGGCUUGAAUUCUUAUGAAGUAACUAGAAUAUGUAGUGUAGCGGUGAAAUGCUUAGAUAUUACAUGGAAUACCAAUUGCGAAGGCAGGUUACUAAUAAGACAUUGACGCUGAUGGACGAAAGCGUGGGGAGCGAACAGGGUUAGAUACCCUGGUAGUCCACGCCGUAAACGAUGGAUACUAGCUGUUCGGACGCAAGUUUGAGUGGCUAAGCGAAAGUGAUAAGUAUCCCACCUGGGGAGUACGCACGCAAGUGUGAAACUCAAAGGAAUUGACGG